rnacentral:tRNA from 1 species
GGGGGUAUAGUUUUAAAAGUAAGGAUAAAACAUGUGAUUUGCGUUUACAAUUUAUUGGUUCGAAUCCAAUUAUCUCCA